GCUGGCAGCUAGCUUUAUAACUCUUACAUGGUCGCCCACUGAAGCUAUGCAAGGCUGCACCUGCUCAGUACUAGGAUGGGAGACCACAUGGGAAAGCUAGGUUGCUGCCUGAA
rnacentral:rRNA from 1 species